UAGCUUAUCAAACUGAUGUUGAC
rnacentral:piRNA from 2 species